CGGGGCUUAAAGUCUUGUAAUUGGAAUGAUGGGAAUUUAAACCUCUUCCAGAGUAUCAAUUGGAGGGCAAGUCUGGUGCCAGCAGCCGCGGUAAUUCCAGCUCCAAUAGCGUAUAUUAAAAUUGUUGCAGUUAAAAAGCUCGUAGUUGAAUUUCUGCUGCAUUGCUUGUGUCCCUCUGGGGUCUGUGCAUGUUGCUUUUUUCGGACGGAGUUUCUUUGUCUGAAUGUUUACUUUGAGAAAAUUAGAGUGCUCAAAGCAGGCUUUCGCCUUGAAUAGUUUAGCAUGGAAUAAUAAAGUAGGACUUUGGUUCUAUUUUGUUGGUUUUAGGUACCAAAGUAAUGGUUAAUAGGAACAGUUGGGGGCAUUCGUAUUUAACUGUCAGAGGUGAAAUUCUUAGAUUUGUUAAAGACGAACUACUGCGAAAGCAUUUGCCAAGGAUGUUUUCAUUAAUCAAGAAC
rnacentral:rRNA from 1 species